rnacentral:rRNA from 1 species
UACGAAGGGGGCUAGCGUUGCUCGGAAUUACUGGGCGUAAAGGGCGCGUAGGCGGCGCAAGUAGUCAGGCGUGAAAUUCCUGGGCUUAACCUGGGGGCUGCGCUUGAUACGCUUGUGCUAGAGGAUGGAAGAGGCUCGUGGAAUUCCCAGUGUAGAGGUGAAAUUCGUAGAUAUUGGGAAGAACACCGGUGGCGAAGGCGGCGAGCUGGUCCAUUACUGACGCUGAGGCGCGACAGCGUGGGGGAGCAAACAGG